GAUGAACGCUGGCGGCGUGCUUAACACAUGCAAGUCGAACGGAAAGGCUCCUGCUUGCAGGGGUACUCGAGCGGCGAACGGGUGAGUAACACGUGGGUGAUCUGCCCUGCACUUCGGGAUAAGCCUGGGAAACUGGGUCUAAUACCGGAUAGGACCACAUUUUGGAUGGUGUGGUGGAAAGUUUUUCGGUGUGGGAUGAGCUCGCGGCCUAUCAGCUUGUUGGUGGGGUAAUGGCCUACCAAGGCGUCGACGGGUAGCCGGCCUGAGAGGGUGUACGGCCACAUUGGGACUGAGAUACGGCCCAGACUCCUACGGGAGGCAGCAGUGGGGAAUAUUGCACAAUGGGCACAAGCCUGAUGCAGCGACGCCGCGUGGGGGAUGACGGCCUUCGGGUUGUAAACUCCUUUCGCUAGGGACGAAGCGCAAGUGACGGUACCUGGAGAAGAAGCACCGGCUAACUACGUG
rnacentral:rRNA from 1 species